CAGAGGGUGCGAGCGUUAAUCGGAAUUACUGGGCGUAAAGCGUGCGUAGACGGUUAUUUAAGUCGGGUGUGAAAGCCCCGGGCUCAACCUGGGAAUUGCAUUCAAGACUGAAUAGCUAGGGUACGGUAGAGGGAAGCGGAAUUUCCGGUGUAGCGGUGAAAUGCGUAGAUAUCGGAAGGAACAUCAGUGGCGAAAGCGGCUUCCUGGACCAGUACCGACGUUCCGGCACGAAAGCGUGGGGAGCAAACAGGAUUAGAUACCCUGGUAGUCCACGCCAUAAACGAUGAGGACUAGACGUUGGAGGGGUAAGCCUUUCAGUGUCGUAGCUAACGCGCUAAGUCCUCCGCCUGGGGAGUACGGCCGCAAGGUUG
rnacentral:rRNA from 1 species